UACGUAGGGGGCAAGCGUUGUCCGGAUUUAUUGGGCGUAAAGAGCGUGUAGGCGGCCAGGUAGGUCAGCUGUGAAAACUCGAGGCUCAACCUCGAGACGUCGGUUGAAACCACCUGGCUAGAGUCCGGAAGAGGAGAGUGGAAUUCCUGGUGUAGCGGUGAAAUGCGCAGAUAUCAGGAAGAACACCCGUGGCGAAGGCGGCUCUCUGGGACGGUACUGACGCUGAGACGCGAAAGCGUGGGGAGCGAACAGG
rnacentral:rRNA from 1 species